UACGUAGGGGGCAAGCGUUGUCCGGAUUUAUUGGGCGUAAAGCGCUCGCAGGUGGUCCGCUGCGUCGUGCGUGAAAGACCCCGGCUCAACUGGGGAGUGUCGUGCGAUACGGGCGGACUGGAGGCCAGUAGGGGGAUGCGGAAUUCCGGGUGUAGUGGUGGAAUGCGUAGAGAUCCGGAGGAACACCAGCGGCGAAGGCGGCAUCCUGGACCGAGAUUGACACUGAGGAGCGAAAGCCAGGGGAGCAAACGGGG
rnacentral:rRNA from 1 species